AUCUCGUGAUUAGGGCAUCUAUGUAGUAACUCUGUGAAUCUUUCCCACGCCUCGUAUAAGGACUCAUCAUCCAAUUGUUGAAAACUGGUGAUCCCAUUCCGCAAUU
rfam:Gossypium raimondii Chr04_contig_808, whole genome shotgun sequence.